rnacentral:rRNA from 1 species
UCGUAGUUCGAUACCAAUAGGCCUUCGGGCCAAUGCACCUCAGCAGGCUGGCGACGGCCCCCAGGCACAAACCCCUGAGGGCUGGCUGGCGGAUUGCAAUGUCACCUCGCGCGGGGAUAAAUCCUCUGCAGACGACUCAAGUGACCAAGCGGGUCGUGUAAGCGGUCAAGUAGCCUUGUUGUUACGAGCUGCUGAGCGUAAGCCGUGUUACCUAGAUUU